rnacentral:rRNA from 1 species
AUGAGAGCGCUAGCUUGCUAGACCUAAACACAGGUGCUGCAUGGCCGUCGUCAGCUCGUGUCGUGAGAUGUUGGUUAAGUCCCGCAACGAGCGCAACCCUCGUCCUUAGUUGCCAGCGGUUCGGCCGGGAACUCUAAGGAGACUGCCUGCGUAAGCGGGAGGAAGGUGGGGAUGAUGUCAAGUCAGCAUGGCCUUUAUAUCCUGGGCUACACACACGCUACAAUGGCCAACACAAUAGGUUGCUAAGCCGCGAGGUGGCGCCAAUCCAUAAAGUUGGUCUCAGUUCAGAUUGUAGGCUGCAACCCGCCUGCAUGAAGAUGGAGUUGCUAGUAACCGCAGGUCAGCUAUACUGCGGUGAAUACGUUCCCGGGGCUU